UAAAAAAUGAUUAGAAAAGAUGAGUAAUCACUAAUUUCUGGCAAAGAGAGUCGUGGCUUGCUGAAAAACGAUCCUGAAAUGGUUGAUGAAGAUGGUCUUGUGAAAAUCUAACUAACGAGCACUAGUAAGUUGGUUACGGGGUGGCAACCGUUAUUCAGAGCUGCGGUUUACUGUUGACCUAAUUAAAAAUGGUGACCACAUGUGAACCGACUGAGGGUAUCUUGAGAUACUAAAUUAGGGUGGUAACACGUUACAGACGUCCCAAAG
rnacentral:ncRNA from 1 species